rnacentral:rRNA from 1 species
GAUGAACGCUGGCGGCGUGCCUAAUACAUGCAAGUCGAGCGAACAGACGAGGAGCUUGCUCCUCUGACGUUAGCGGCGGACGGGUGAGUAACACGUGGAUAACCUACCUAUAAGACUGGGAUAACUUCGGGAAACCGGAGCUAAUACCGGAAAAUAUAUUGAACCGCAUGGUUCAAUAGUGAAAGACGGUUUUGCUGUCACUUAUAGAUGGAUCCGCGCCGCAUUAGCUAGUUGGUAAGGUAACGGCUUACCAAGGCAACGAUGCGUAGCCGACCUGAGAGGGUGAUCGCCCACACUGGAACUGAGCCACGGUCCAGACUCCUACGGGAGGCAGCAGUAGGGAAUCUUCCGCAAUGGGCGAAAGCUUGACGGAGCAACGCCGCGUGGGUGAUGAAGGUCUUCGGAUCGUAAAACUCUGUUAUUAGGGAAGAACAAAUGUGUAAGUAACUAUGCACGUCUUGACGGUACCUAAUCAGAAAGCCACGGCUAACUACGUG